AAACUUAAAGUUAAAACCAUGGUUGGUGACUACGGUUUUGAUCGUUUUUAUCAAAUAAAACCGUAAUCACCAACUAAACCGUAGUCACCAACUACAGUUUUAUGAUGUGAUAAUUUACAUGGUACAUAAGAUAUUAUUUUUAGAAUCGGUUUACUUUAUGGAAUUUUUUUUUAAAAAAAGUUGCAUUUUGGUCAAAGCUCCAAAGAUGGAGAGGGGUUGGUUUUAGUGAUGGGCUUUUCCAUGUUGGCCUUAAUGUAUUAACUAAAGGGCCUGUCUUUUUCGUGGGCCUCUAUUUGGCAAACACUAGUUUGCAUUCUGUCACGUCAGAAUGCUAAGCUAUGGAUAAUUACGAAACAUGGGUGCUUACGACGGAUGAUUGUGAUUCUUGGGAUUUUGGAAGUAUUGUGAAGUGGGCAUUGUGGAAAAAUAAGUUACUUAUUUGAUGAUCAUGACUACUGUCAUGGUUCAUAAGUCUUGAAGUUCUUUCAACAAACCCAAUUUUAAGUUGACAACCUCUCCUUCCCCUUCCCCACCCCUUCAUAUCCAAACAAACAAUAGGAUGGGGUGUGUAGCCAUCUCCAUCAUUGAAUAAUUUAUGAUAGGAUUUGUAUCUUUGAAUGAUGGUACAAAUAAAUACGUUAAAAAACAUGCAUGUGUUAUCAUUAAUUAUCGGUAUUUAUUCCAUAUUUAUUGAAGCAAUAUCUUUCGAGUGGGAUACAACUUGGACAAGUUGACUUCAUCCAACCUAAGUCGAACCCGAUAAUUAGACAAUCAAUUUUAGUACUUAGAUUCAUUCAUAUUAUAUUUUUUCGACAUGAAUUCAAUUUGGAUUGUGAUUAGACUUCGAUCAAAAUUUAAAUAACUCGAACUUAACCAAAAUCCGAUUUAAUAUUUGUAUGAUAAUUAUGAUAUAUAUAUCAUCCUAUAUAAUGAUAUUAAUUUUUUUGACAAAAAAAAAAAAUUAUCAAAUUAUAAUUAUAUAAUUUUUUUGGUCAUUUUUCAGUAAAAUAUAUAAAUUUGUUUUUAUUUUUUUUUUAUUAUAUAAAACUUGAUUCCAUUUAUUAUUUAAUUAUUGUAUGUCAAAAUUUUGAAUCAUAUAAUCAGAUUCACUUCAAUUUAAAAAAGCGAGACUAUUAACCAUUAACUUGACUCAUCCCAUAAAGUAGACCCCGGUAUCAAAUAAUCAUACCAAUUUCUUAAUAAUGAAAAAAAAUCCAUAUUUUGUUAAUGAUAUAACGAGAUUCAAAGAUGUGCAUGAGUUGAUCGGUGAUAACUUUUCGAUAUCUACCAUGUAACUUCUGGUAGGAUUACACACUUCUUACAGUGAAAACAAGCAGAAUUUGUUGGCAACUCAUGUGAAUUGGGCACGGCAAAUUCAGGCAAACCCCACUUCGAUGGUAUGUGAAAACACCCUCAAGUCGUUGAAGUACUUGGGCCAACCAAAGCUUGACUCAUUGACUUGUUCUUUUACACAUGAUCUAAUGAGAACCAGCGAAGCAGCCACCAAGCUUCGUUGACUCAGAGAGAGAAGAGAAGCUGCUCACUCUUUAGACCCACGGAAUCCCUGGAUGCAUCCUCGAAAUUGGACUAAUAUUAUCAGGGUUUUAGUUUCUCCAAAAAGUCCAUACGACGUCGUCUCCCACAUAGGGCUUUUGGCCUUUUUGUCCACCUUUGCAGACUGGCUUUUGCUGACCACAGGCUUGACCAGGGGAUGACACGGUUUUAUUGUAUCUAUAAAUUUGGUGUUUCAGAUCGACCUUCUUCCUCCAUCCCUUUCUCCACUACUCUUCUUCUUUUUCAGUGUCUGGUCUGGUAUCAUUUCCAUAACUCAAUGGCCAUGAAGGUCUGUUGUCUCUUUGAUAUAGCUUUUUGUUUUUGGGUUUGCUCUGUUUUCUUUGAGGAAUAAGCUUGCAUGGCUGUGAUGGGUUUUGUCUGCUUGGUUGCUGAGAAACUGACGAAAAGGAAAAGGAAAGGAAAGAAAAGAUGUUGGAACCUUUUUGAAAAGCUUAUUCUUCUACGAUUAGAAGAAUUGAGUUUUCUUGUUGUUUCUUUUCCUAAUUUUUCUCAGAAAUCAAACAGAGCAUUAAGGAAUUUGAAUAAAAUUUAUGGUUUUGCUUGAUUUGAGCUCAUAUUCUCACUUCGGUUGGCUUUAUAAAGAUGAAAAUUUUCUGGGUCUUCUGAUAUUUUUCUUAUUGUUGAUGGGUGUUCCCCUUUUUCUCUGAAUCACAGCAUAUCUCAGGCUGUUCUUUAUUUUGUUGUGACAGAAAACAAUCUUGAAGGUGGAGUUAUUCGAUGACAAAAGCAAGCAGAAGGCCAUGAAGAAUGUCGCUUGCCUUCCAGGUAUUGAAUCUGAAGUUCUUGCAAAAUUCACUCUAAUCCCUGUUUGGUUUAUGUGAAAACUGAGCAAAAUUAAGAGUUUAUUUUCAUCCAAAAGACUAAAAAAAUCACACAAUGAUUUCGUUGGCUUUCUCUUCUUUUUCCUACUCUUUCCCAUCAACCAAAUGGUUUAUUUAACUCACAGAAGAAAACCCAGUUCCUAAAAGCUUAAAAACUACUAAAUCUGAAUUGUUUUGAAUUGCAAUUUUGCAGGAGUUUCUUCAGUUUCCAUGGAUAUGAAGGACAAGAAAUUGACUGUAAUUGGAGAUGUGGAUCCAGUAAGCAUAGUGGGCAGGUUGAGGAAGCUUUGCCACCCAGAGAUAUUAUCAGUUGGCCCAGCAAAAGAGCCAGAGAAGAAGAAGGAGGAACCCAAGAAAAAAGAGGACCCUAAAGAUCAAUGGGCUGAUCUUGUUAAAGCAUACCAAGCUUAUAAUCCUCACUAUACCACACACUAUUUUGUUAGAAGUGCGGAAGAAGACCCGAAUGCUUGUGUCAUUUGUUAAUCACCAGAUCAUAGAAGAAUCCAAAAAGGCAAAAGCAAUAGUAUCUGUGUGUGGGUAAUUAUAGAUAUGGGUCUUCUAUAAU
rnacentral:lncRNA from 1 species